CUUCACAAUGAAAUGUAUUUGAUGGGGCUGGCUGGGUGCAGUGGCUCAAGCCUGUAAUCCCAACACCUUGAGAGGCUGAGACAGGAGGAUUGCUUGAGUCCAGGAGCUCGAGACCAGCCUGGGCAUAUGCACUGGGCUCAGUUCCUCUCAUUUCCAUCAUGGGAUAUGUUGACAGAGACAUCCAGCUACUCUGUCAGUCCUCGGGCUGGUUCCCCCGGCCCACAGCGAAGUGGAAAGGUCCACAAGGACAGGAUUUGUCCACCGACUCCAGGACAAACACAGACAUGCAUGGCCUGUUUGAUGUGGAGAUCUCCCUAACCGUCCAAGAGAACGCUGGGAGCAUAUCCUGUUUCAUGCAGCAUGCUCAUCUGAGCCGAGAGGUGGAAUCCAGGGUACAGAUAGGAGAGACGUUUUUCCAGCCCUCACCUUGGCGCCUGGCUUCUAUUUUACUCGGGUUACUCUGUGGUGCCCUAUGUGUUGUUGUCAUGGGGAUGACAAUUGUUUUCUUCAAAUCCAAAGGUAAGUGAGAGAGAGAAGCAUGGGCCCAUGCUUUCUUCAUGGUUCCAGUGGAGCUGAUAUCAGGCUGCCCUCACACACCUCUGGGCUCUGUUCUUCCAGCCCUAGGCCCACGGGGUCCACCGCCUGAGGCACAGGGAACCCAGUCUUCAGCCUCCUCUGUGCUGACCUGAAAUGGCUCCUUCAGAAAAUGCCAGCCUCUGCCAAUCCCUUUCUACUUUACGUGGAGCACAGGAUAAGCAGAUAAUUGAUUUUCAGUAAAUAAAGAGAAAUAAAUUUCUACUAACGACAACAAGAGUCUUAUAAGAAAAUUUCAGGGUAGUUGCAAAGACUUCAUAAAAGAGGAAAUAAAACUGACUGACUGAGAUAAAAUGAUAAUCUCAAUAAGAGUCUUCACCCUAGAACAAAUUUCCUCCUCCUUGGGAGCGACACUUCCCAUUGAGGAUGAGGCCACCCCCACCUCCCCUCCCAGCCACCUUCUCCCAUCUCCAUCCCCACCUCCACAGCAUCCCAGCUAUUGUCCCUCUCCUUAGCAUGCACCUUCCCCCUGAUCUCUUGCUCCACCCCAGAGAGCUACAGUCCGUGCAGGGGCUGGGGAGCACAUAUAAGUGUCCUAGGAGAGGCCCUGCCCUUCACACCUGCAGCUCGUCCCACCUGUGCAAGGAGCCAGCGUCAUGUUUGUACCUUGCACACUCCUGUGUCCACCACUGAAUAUACUGUUUCUGUUCCA
rnacentral:sRNA from 1 species